rnacentral:rRNA from 1 species
CCGCGUGAGUGAUGAAGGUUUUCGGAUCGUAAAGCUCUGUUGUUAGGGAAGAACAAGUGCAAGAGUAACUGCUUGCACCUUGACGGUACCUAACCAGAAAGCCACGGCUAACUACGUGCCAGCAGCCGCGGUAAUACGUAGGUGGCAAGCGUUGUCCGGAAUUAUUGGGCGUAAAGGGCUCGCAGGCGGUUUCUUAAGUCUGAUGUGAAAGCCCCCGGCUCAACCGGGGAGGGUCAUUGGAAACUGGGAAACUUGAGUGCAGAAGAGGAGAGUGGAAUUCCACGUGUAGCGGUGAAAUGCGUAGAGAUGUGGAGGAACACCAGUGGCGAAGGCGACUCUCUGGUCUGUAACUGACGCUGAGGAGCGAAAGCGUGGGGAGCGAACAGGAUUAGAUACCCUGGUAGUCCACGCCGUAAACGAUGAGUGCUAAGUGUUAGGGGGUUUCCGCCCCUUAGUGCUGCAGCUAACGCAUUAAGCACUCCGCCUGGGGAGUACGGUCGCAAGACUGAAACUCAAAGGAAUUGACGGGGGCCCGCACAAGCGGUGGAGCAUGUGGUUUAAUUCGAAGCAACGCGAAGAACCUUACCAGGUCUUGACAUCCUCUGACAACCCUAGA